UACAGAGGUCUCAAGCGUUGUUCGGAAUCACUGGGCGUAAAGGGAGCGUAGGCGGCGUGGUAAGUCAGAUGUGAAAUCCCGGGGCUCAACCCCGGAACUGCAUCCGAUACUGCCAUGCUUGAGGGUUGGAGAGGUAGCUGGAAUUCUCGGUGUAGCAGUGAAAUGCGUGGAUAUCGAGAGGAACACUCGUGGCGAAGGCGAGCUACUGGACAACAUCUGACGCUGAGGCUCGAAGGCUAGGGGAGCAAACAGG
rnacentral:rRNA from 1 species